rnacentral:misc_RNA from 1 species
UGUGAUAUUGUUUCAUUUUUCUACUUGCCUGUGAGCAAAGCCUUCUGUGUCAUUUCUCCACACGCAGAGCUCACAAAACCCUAGCAAAAAAUCCAGUAAAAAAGGAAUUGAAAAUUACCAAAUUGAGGCAGAAUGAGCAGAGGUAGUGGAGGAGGAUAUGAUCGUCACAUCACUAUUUUUUCACCGGAGGGCCGUCUUUUUCAAGUGGAGUAUGCUUUUAAGGCUGU